GUAGUCCUUGCCGUAAACUAUGUAUACUUGGUGUAGCUGGAAUCAACCCUGGCUGUGCCGUAGCUAACGCGAUAAGUAUACCGCCUGGGGAGUACGCUCGCAAGGGUGAAACUCAAAAGAAUUGACGGGGACCCGCACAAGCAGUGGAGCAUGUGGUUUAAUUCGAUGCAACGCGAAGAACCUUACCCAGACUUGACAUACAGUGGAAUAUGGUAGAAAUAUCAUAGCCCUUCGGGGCCGCUGAACAGGUGCUGCAUGGCUGUCGUCAGCUCGUGCCGUGAGGUGUUGGGUUAAGUCCCGCAACGAGCGCAACCCUUAUCGUUAGUUGCCAACAGGUAAUGCUGGGAACUCUAGCGAGACUGCCUGGGUUAACCAGGA
rnacentral:rRNA from 1 species